rnacentral:misc_RNA from 1 species
UCUCCGUAGGUGAACCUGCGGAGGGAUCAUUACAGAGUUCAUGCCCUAACGGGUAGAUCUCCCACCCUAUGUUAUCAUCACUUUGUUGCUUUGGCGGGCCGUCAGGCCUCGGCUUGGCUACCGGCUCUCGCUGGUAAGCGCCCGCCAGAGAACCCCAAACCCUGAAUAUCAGUGUCGUCUGAGUACUAUAUAAUAGUUAAAACUUUCAACAACGGAUCUCUUGGUUAUG